CCUGCCCCCAGAGGUGUUGCAGGUGGGGCUGCUGUGUCGCAUGUGUGCCAGUAGGUGGCAGAGAGGAGAGAGGCCAGCCUUAGGAG
rnacentral:snoRNA from 1 species